CUGCAAUAACGUAGAAGAGAUUUUGUAGCAGCUGGAGUUCAAGUAGAUUAUUUUAGUAACGUAAACGUAUCUUUUCAAUACUGUAAUAUGUUUGUUUGCAGCUCGUAAUUUCUUCUCUGUAAAAAUUCUGUAAAAGACUGAACAUUGCAAUAUGCACUUCUGAGGAUCUCAACAAACCAGUGGACUCAUCCUGCUUAGCUCGAUGGAUAUAAUGUUGCUUUCUUGUUUCAUGCUCGUUAAUUCUGCUCAAUGUAUUAAAUUUUUGUAGAAGGCUGAACAUUGCAAAGGUCUCAGCAAACCAGUGGACUCAUCCUGCUCAGCUCAAUGGCUAUAAUGUUGCUUUCUUGUUUUGUGCUCAUUAAUUCUGCUGAAUG